rnacentral:rRNA from 1 species
AGCAGCCGCGGUAAUUCCAGCUCCAAUAGCGUAUAUUAAAGUUGUUGCAGUUAAAAAGCUCGUAGUUGAAUUUCGGGGUUUAUCCGUUGGUCGGGCUUUUUGGUCUGUACUGGCGUGAUGGAUUCCUACCUUCUGAAUAACCGGCAUGCCAUUAAUUUGGUGCGCCGGGGAAGCAGGACUGUUACCUUGAAAAAAUUAGAGUGCUUAAAGCAGGCUUAUGCCUGAAUACAUUAGCAUGGAAUAAUGAAAUAGGACGGCAUGGUUCUAUUUUGUUGGUUUCUAGGAUCACCGUAAUGAUUAAUAGGGAUAGUUGGGGGCAUUAGUAUUCAAUUGUCAGAGGUGAAAUUCUUGGAUUUAUUGAAGACUAACUUCUGCGAAAGCAUUUGCCAAGGAUGUUUUCAUUAAUCAAGAACGAAAGUUAGGGGAUCGAAGACGAUCAGAUACCGUCGUAGUCUUAACCAUAAACUAUGCCGACUAGGGAUCGGACGAUGUUAAUUUUUUCAAUGACUCGUUCGGCGCC